rnacentral:lncRNA from 1 species
GCAUGCCGAGGCCAAAAACAAACAAACAAAAACACAGAACACCCUGAUUUUCCCUUUCUGAGAAUCCUUUUCUCAGAAGGUCCUGGGGACUGUAGGCCAGGAUCCUCCCACUCCUGGGCACUCCCCUCCCACCCCUGCCGGUUAUGUGCACCUGUACCAGGUUUAUUUCUAGGGAGGAGGCUGAUGAGGAGGGCCUCUGCAAAGGGAGGGGCCCAGGGACCCACCAGAGAUGGGAAUCAGAUAAUAGAUUAACCAGAUAGAGUUGGCAGAAAAGAGAUUUGUGGGGCCCAGCUGGUUAUCAUUCUGUUGCUGCUCAUCCUGGUCCUGAAGAAUCCCCAGGUGACUGAUGGGCUCACUCGGUAACUCCCGUGCUGAGCAGUUCCUCCUCGACCCCAGCGCAGCCAAAUGUGCCUGGGAAAGAAAAGACUAGAGGAUUGUGGGCCCUCAUUGGUUGCCCCUGGACUAUUUUUGAUUAAGUGCACAGGCAGUGCAGGCAGCUGCUGCUGCUCCGAGAGCCAGCACAGUUCUCCAGAAAGGGGCCGUCUGGGAGGGGAGGGCAUUUUCAGGGGGGUGUGUCUGCCUGAAAUGGGACAGGCCUCUGCAACAUCCCAGUCGUGGGAAGAGGGACUGCUGGGCUCCUGACCAAUGACGAGCCCUACUGCCUGGCUCUUUCCUCCCAUGAUGAUCGCUGCCUUCUGCGUUGCAAUCCUGCCCUCUGAUUAUCGCAGUGCAUCGCCCGUUUGGUUUUUCUCAGUUUAACUCCCACACUCAUUUUGUGCAUGAAUGAGUACAAUGAAACCAGUUUAAUUUGCUGUUAAUUCUCUGUUCAAAAUAUUCUCUUCUGUUUAAGGGACACAGUCCCCCUUUCAUCUUGCUGAGGCAGUUUGUGAAGGAAGGCAGCUUCAGGCGAGGGGAGGGGAAGGAGGGGGCUUCAGGAAAAGGGUGAGCUCCAGGGGUGGAACAUCCCCCCAGAGCCUAUGGGGAGGAGGGCCCACAGUUGUUGGGCCUUUACACUUGCUGAGUUAGGGGUCUGUUUGGACUCUCUUUGUGGGGGAAAGGUCAUGUCUGGAGACUUUCCUCCAGAUGGAGGGGCUAUGGCAGAGAGGUUUGAGAGUGCAAACCCAAGCUAGCCUCUGUGGGUGCCAAGCACUGGGGUAAGGAGGUGAAUUCUGAUCACCCUUGGGGGGUAGUCAGGGAAGGCAUCAGAUGGGAUGGGAGGAACACAAACUUGAAAAAUUGCCUUAAGACAUCUAAAUACAGGAGUUCCUGUCGUGGCUUAGUGGAAAUGAAUCUGACUAGUAUCCAUGAGGAUGCAGGUUUGAUCUCUGGCCUCGCUCAGUGGGUUAAGGAUCCAGCGUUGCUGUGACUGUGGCGUAGGUCUGAGGCUACAUCUCCGAUGCAACCCUAACCACUGGUGUGGCCCUCAAAAGACAAAAGACCAAAAAAUAAAAAUUAAAAAAAAGGCACCUAAAUACAGUGUUUAAGCCGUUUGCUCAACCAGCAAAGCUCUCAAGGAGGCUUAUUUUUUACAAAAAUUUGCUUGUCUUGGUCAGCCAUGCUUCGCUUUUGCACCUCUCUGCUUUAACCCAGGCCUUUGUGGGGAGGGAGCUUCGCACCUGGUGGCAGAUGCCCCGUCCCCAGUUGCAGGGCUGCACUUUGAGAGAUGUGAACUCCAUAGGCACUGAAUCUGCCAAAGUAAUGAUGGGGCUAUGUUUUUUGGUACCUAGCAGUCCCUCAGGCUACAUUGAAGGUGAGUGGGGGCAUCUUGGUGGUGGGUGGGUGAGACCAAUCCCUCAGAAGGGUCUGCCUUGUCCUCCAGUCACUCCAGAAAGACCACCUCCCUGGGGAGGGUAUCUUUUCAAAUACUCUGUAAGUUGCAGGGGGAGGAAGUUGAGAAGCCACCAGGGCUCUGCUGGCUUCCUCUUUGGAGCAUGGAAAGUGCUGGCUGAGGGAGCCCAGGAACCACUCUCGGAGGCCAACACUUUUGAUCUCUGUGCGUUUGCACCGUCUUGCAGGGGUCCUAAACAGGUUGUGCCCACGGCAGCUGCUGCCCCGCCUCACCUUCCACCCGGCCCUCCAGUGGCCCUCCAUGCGUCUAACAUGCCUGUUUUCACCCUGGGUGGUCCUGGCUACCCUGCCACUAGGUAGGAGAGCAGAGUUCUGCUUUGGGAAACAUACAAACUUUAUCCAUCAGUUCAGCAUAUAUGUGGAGACCAGCUGCUGGGUAAAGAUGCUUAAGUGGGGGCAAAGGGAGAGAGCCGAGCAAAGGCAGAGUGUGAUGGGUGGCUUUACAGGACCAAUCAGUUUGGCCCAGGGCGGGGGGCAGGGAGGGAGGGGACAGACACUAUGCUCCAUACUAUCUGGGGGCGUGCUCUGGCCAGGAGCAGGGAGAAUUCCAGAGCCCCAGAUGUGGGUGCUGGGAAGCAGGAAUCUUUGGAGCAGAUGCUGCUCUGAGAAUGGGGAGGCGGGAGGUGGUGAUGCUGGGCUCAGGGGUAGUGAAGGGGCUACCUCAGGCAGGGGGGCGGCUGCCUAUCCUCUCCAUGUCCCGCUGCCUUCUCUUUGUGCACAGUUUGGGGAGCUGGGGCAGGUGAUUCCCACCCAGGAGUGAGCUUCAAAUAAACCGAAUCAGGAUCGAUGUGCUGUUUAGGGGCACUGUAGUUGUACCAAAGUGGAACAUUGUCAUUAAGCUCGUCGUAAAGGACAUAAAAUGAAGGUAAACACAGUCUGUGCCGUCGUCUUGCCUUCUUUUUUAAUUAGGAAGUUUUCCUCCUCACUAGAGAAGACGGAGUUGCCUGGGUUCAUGUGUGAGGGGUCCUUUGCCCUUCCAGGAUCUUAUCCACCCUAGACCUGCCCCCACCCCCAUUUCACGCCCAGCUCCUGAGUGAUGUGGGAGGAAGGCUGAGGAUGAUGAGGAUGGUCCUACCAGCUGACACUUACCUGGCCCUGCUGGGGCCACAUCCUCUGUCCAUUUACUGUCCCUCUCCUUGGCAGCCGGAGCGCUAAUCCAGUGGCAGCUCCUGAGGAUUGUGUUUGUCCCUGGAGCCCCCUUCUCAGCUUGCCCCUUCACCCUUCACCCUCAAGUCUGAAGAGCCUCACGGUGACAACACUGGCUUAACUAACAUCCCUGACAGAUUUGAACACACUUACCUAUUUUCUCCCUGAAACAUUUUCUCUUUCACCACUUCCGCAAAUUCCUCUUAGGGAAAUAUUGCUCCAAGCCCUCCAUCCUCUCAUUUCUCUUCCCACCCCAACCCUUUGCAUACCAAGCUGUACUUAUCCUCUGCCUCCUGCAGGAAGCCUUCCCUGACUACCUGUUCCUCUGUCCUCCCCCAAGCCCUGAUAGUCUGUACCAGUUGGUUCCAAGGAUGCUUUUGGAGAUUGCGGUGACAAGGGGCACAGCCUCAAGCCCAGGGUCACAGCUUGCCAAGAACCUGGCCACUGUUUCCAGUGGACCCUUGAACUCCUGCCACCCUUGCUUACUCCACUGCCUCAGUGCCCCUGAGCUCAGGGCCUCCCAAGCCCGGCCAGAAAAGGCUACAACCUUCAGGCCAGUGCCUCGGCUGGCUGACCACUCAUUCCUUGUCUCAUCCUCAGGCCCAGGGACCUUCUGUCAGCAGCCAAGCCCAGAGCAGGCAGUCUAUUUACAGUCAGCCUGGAGCUGAGGACAUAGGGCGAGCAAGACAGACCAGGCCUCUGCGAUCAUGGAAGGGCAUGCUAUUCCCAGCUGGAUUAGCUUCCUAGGGCUGCUAUUAAAACAAAACAAAACAAAAACCACCACACACACGGAGGGCUCAAAACAAUGGAAAUUUAUUCUCUCACUGUUCUGGAGGCCAGAAGUCUAAAACCAAGGUGUCAGCAGGGAGCUUCCUCCUAGAGGUUCUGAGGGAGCAGCUCCUGGGGAUUGCUCCUUAGUUGUUGCUGCAGAAGUGUGGUGCCUGCAUCUGUGCUCAUACAACCUUCUCCCCUACGGAUCUCUGUGUGUCAGACCUCAUUCUCUCUUUUCUCUCAUAAGAACACCAGUCAUUGGAUUUAAGGCCCAUCCUAAAUCCAGGAUGAUCUCAGCUCAAGAUCCUAAUUACAUCUGCAGAUAAGGUCACGUUCACAGGUACUACAGGAUGAGACUUGGGCCUAUAUUUAGGGGGAUCCAACUCAGCCCAUUAUGCUGGCCGUUGCUCCUCCCUACUGGAGCUGUGGUUGGGGUCCUGGCUUCCUCACCCAGGAGCCCCAGCCAUGUGCUCAUCACAGCUGUUCGCAGUAACAUAAGCCAGGCACGGAGAGGACUCACUAUGGUCUUACUGUCUCUUGGCCAUUGUCUAACCUUCAAGGACCCACCAGUUUCCCUUCACCGCAGGAGGAGUUUUGGAGAGAGCCAUGGGCCUCUGCCACACAGUGCUGCUUAGAGCUGACUCUUGAGCUGGAGACUCUGAGGAGCGACCAUGUUGAUCCCAGCCCUCCCCUGCUUGUGAGGUCUGGCCAGACAUGGACUGACCCUCCCUGGUGCCAGGGGCUUUGCUGUCUGCAUUUCCUCCCAGCUGCCCUGUAGACUGUUGGAGGCAGAUGGAGCCCUGACACCACCCCACCAUUCCUGGGCAGCCCUUUCUUGAGCCAGCAUCUUGCUGUUGGCUCCCCUUCUGAAGUCCCUUCUACCCAUCUGCUCACUUCUCCACUUCUGCCUCCUGGUUUAGCUGAGCCGCAUUUUCUCCCGUCUCCUUCCUCAUGCCUCUGAUCAUGGUCCCAUCAGAUCAGAGAAGACUCUUCCCUGAGCCCAGGGCCCUUCGGAGUGCCCCUGUGGUGACACGUUUCCAUUAUGUGUCAGGUCCCCAGACUCCCAGCUGACAAACAUAUUCAUUAUGCAUUAUACAUUGGUCCUCUGCCAAUUCAUUAGUGGUGAAUGAGGCUUAUGUGUUUCUCCUGUUUCCUUUCAGAUCCUCUAGGAAGAACUCAAAUUCCCACCCAAAUCUGGUAGGAACCAGUUAGCCCAAGAGGACAGUCAUCUUCCUUAGAUACACUUUGCUAAGACUCCCUGUGGAUAGAAACCUUAUGUAAUUGUGUUUUCAUUCACGAACAUUCCCAGGGUCCCUGGUGUUCUGAAGGUCACAAAGGCUUCCAUGAAGUUUGUAGGUUUGCUGAUGGCUGGAAAGAUGUGCUAUUGUAUGCUAAAGUAAUGAAUUUUUUGAUCAGAAAUUACAAGAAAAAGUGUAGAUAUCACUGAACACAUUUUGUCAGCCCUUUUGUCCAUGCCAGAGCCUUUGCCCAUCUAGAUGAAAGGUGAGCAAACAGUAGCCUGCAGCCUGCUUUUAGGUUGCAAUGGCAGAGGUGAAUAGCUGCAACAGAAACCUUAGAGCCCACAGUGCCUAAAGUAGUUACUAUCUGCACCUUUACAGAAAGUUUGCUGGCUGCCCGUAGAGGCUGCUGCAGCACAUCCUAGCAGCUCAGUUUCUGAGGGCCAGUGUAAACUAAGGCCACCUGGGAGGGUAGACUCCUGGCCUGGGCUGUGCUGGAGCACUUGCCCUAGAGCUGUGUUUCUUUCUAGCCAAGAUGUUGUGUCACCUGUAUCGGUCUAGGGGAAUGCAGGCUGAAACCCAUUCAAUUAUGGUAUUAUGUUCGGUUUGUGUAACAAGAUCUCAAGCUGGGGCUCAGAAAGUUUGAUGAGGGCUAAUGCUUAUUGAGUAAUAGUCUUCUGAAAUGUGAUGAUGUCUGUGAAAACAUUUAUAAGGUCUAGACAGGACAAUUUAUAAAAAGCAUAUGUUGGCUCUGCUCAAAAUGAAAUAGUUAAGUCUAAAUCUGACAAAAUAUGUACAAGAGCUAUAGAAGGAAAAUUAUAAAACUGAGGAAUGAAAUCAAAAAAACAAAUAAAUGGAGAGAUGUUCCAUAUUCAUGGAUAGGAAGAUUUAAUAGUGCCCAGAUGUCAAUUUUUCCCAACUUGAUCAUAGAUUCAAUGCAAUCCCAAUCAAAAUCCAAGCAAGUAUUUUGUGACUAUUGACAAAGUGAUUCUCAAGUGUCUACGAGAGGCAAAAUACCCAGAAGCGCCAGGACAAUGUUGAAGGAGAAGAACCAAGUUGGAGGAUUGACACCACCCCAGCUUCAAGACUUACUAUAAAGCUACAGUAAUCAAGAUAGUGUGACGUUGACUUACAGAAUAGAGAAAUAGAUCAGUGGAACGGAAUAGAGAGCCUGGAAUAGACCUAUAGGAAGAUAGUCAACUGACCUUUGAUAAAGGAACAAAGGUAACACAAUGGAACAACAACAACAACAAAAUCUCUUCAACGAAGAGUUCUGGAACAACUGGACAUCUACAUGUCAAAAAAAAAAAAAAAA